rnacentral:rRNA from 1 species
UGAAGUCGGAAUUGCUAGUAAUGGCAGGUCAGCAUACUGCCGUGAAUACGUUCCCGGGCCUUGUACACACCGCCCGUCACACCAUGAGAGUUGGAAAUACCCGAAGCCUGUGAGCUAACAGUAAUGAGGCAGCAGUCGAAGGUAGAGCCAAUGAUUGGGGUGAAGUCGUAACAAGGUAGC